rfam:Picea glauca, whole genome shotgun sequence.
AGGUGCUAUCUUACCAGCGUUAGUGCAAUGGAUCCCAUCGAAUCUCCAUAGUUAAGCAUGCUUGGGCUAGAAUAGUACUGGGAUGGGUGGCCUCCCAGGAAGUCCUAGUGUCGCACCCU